AUCCUUUUUCGGCUCCUAAGUGUGAUGAUUGGGUAUUCAUGUGGCUGCAUGACAUGUGCCGCCCUCAAACCUUGUUAUGCACCACACCAGCAUAUUACCUGUAAGUAA